GGGUUGUGAGGUUAAGCGACUAAGCGUACACGGUGGAUGCCCUGGCAGUCAGAGGCGAUGAAGGACGUGCUAAUCUGCGAUAAGCGCCGGUAAGGUGAUAUGAACCGUUAUAACCGGCGAUUUCCGAAUGGGGAAACCCAGUGUGACUCGUCACACUAUCAUUAACUGAAUCCAUAGGUUAAUGAGGCGAACCGGGGGAACUGAAACAUCUAAGUACCCCGAGGAAAAGAAAUCAACCGAGAUUCCCCCAGUAGCGGCGAGCGAACGGGGAGGAGCCCAGAGCCUGAAUCAGCAUGUGUGUUAGUGGAAGCGUCUGGAAAGGCGCGCGAUACAGGGUGACAGCCCCGUACACAAAAGCGCAUGUGCUGUGAGCUCGAUGAGUAGGGCGGGACACGUGGUAUCCUGUCUGAAUAUGGGGGGACCAUCCUCCAAGGCUAAAUACUCCUGACUGACCGAUAGUGAACCAGUACCGUGAGGGAAAGGCGAAAAGAACCCCGGCGAGGGGAGUGAAAAAGAACCUGAAACCGUGUACGUACAAGCAGUGGGAGCACCCUUCGGGGUGUGACUGCGUACCUUUUGUAUAAUGGGUCAGCGACUUAUAUUCUGUAGCAAGGUUAACCGUAUAGGGGAGCCGUAGGGAAACCGAGUCUUAACCGGGCGUUAAGUUGCAGGGUAUAGACCCGAAACCCGGUGAUCUAGCCAUGGGCAGGUUGAAGGUUGGGUAACACUAACUGGAGGACCGAACCGACUAAUGUUGAAAAAUUAGCGGAUGACCUGUGGCUGGGGGUGAAAGGCCAAUCAAACCGGGAGAUAGCUGGUUCUCCCCGAAAGCUAUUUAGGUAGCGCCUCGUGAAUUCAUCUCCGGGGGUAGAGCACUGUUUCGGCUAGGGGGCCAUCCCGGCUUACCAACCCGAUGCAAACUGCGAAUACCGGAGAAUGUUAUCACGGGAGACACACGGCGGGUGCUAACGUCCGUCGUGAAGAGGGAAACAACCCAGACCGCCAGCUAAGGUCCCAAAGUCAUAGUUAAGUGGGAAACGAUGUGGGAAGGCCCAGACAGCCAGGAUGUUGGCUUAGAAGCAGCCAUCAUUUAAAGAAAGCGUAAUAGCUCACUGGUCGAGUCGGCCUGCGCGGAAGAUGUAACGGGGCUAAACUAUGCACCGAAGCUGCGGCAGCGACACUAUGUGUUGUUGGGUAGGGGAGCGUUCUGUAAGCCUGUGAAGGUGUGUCGUGAGGCAUGCUGGAGGUAUCAGAAGUGCGAAUGCUGACAUAAGUAACGAUAAAGCGGGUGAAAAGCCCGCUCGCCGGAAGACCAAGGGUUCCUGUCCAACGUUAAUCGGGGCAGGGUGAGUCGACCCCUAAGGCGAGGCCGAAAGGCGUAGUCGAUGGGAAACGGGUUAAUAUUCCCGUACUUGGUGUUACUGCGAAGGGGGGACGGAGAAGGCUAUGUUGGCCGGGCGACGGUUGUCCCGGUUUAAGCGUGUAGGUGUGUGUUCCAGGUAAAUCCGGUUCACUUUAACACUGAGGCGUGAUGACGAGGCACUACGGUGCUGAAGCAACAAAUGCCCUGCUUCCAGGAAAAGCCUCUAAGCAUCAGGUAACAUCAAAUCGUACCCCAAACCGACACAGGUGGUCAGGUAGAGAAUACCAAGGCGCUUGAGAGAACUCGGGUGAAGGAACUAGGCAAAAUGGUGCCGUAACUUCGGGAGAAGGCACGCUGACACGUAGGUGAAGUGAUUUACUCAUGGAGCUGAAGUCAGUCGAAGAUACCAGCUGGCUGCAACUGUUUAUUAAAAACACAGCACUGUGCAAACACGAAAGUGGACGUAUACGGUGUGACGCCUGCCCGGUGCCGGAAGGUUAAUUGAUGGGGUCAGCGCAAGCGAAGCUCCUGAUCGAAGCCCCGGUAAACGGCGGCCGUAACUAUAACGGUCCUAAGGUAGCGAAAUUCCUUGUCGGGUAAGUUCCGACCUGCACGAAUGGCGUAAUGAUGGCCAGGCUGUCUCCACCCGAGACUCAGUGAAAUUGAACUCGCUGUGAAGAUGCAGUGUACCCGCGGCAAGACGGAAAGACCCCGUGAACCUUUACUAUAGCUUGACACUGAACAUUGAGCCUUGAUGUGUAG
rnacentral:rRNA from 1 species